ACUUUCAUAUUUGAUAUUUCAUACAACCACUUCUCACUUCACAGUUAUCAUCACCUCUCUUCAUUUCAUAGUAAAUCUUCACUUCACUUCACAUAUCCUAGCUUCCUCUUUCAUUAACGCCACAACACUAUCAUUUCCAUAAUAACCUAACCUUACACUGUACAAAUCAACCUCUUGCUUAAUUUCACCACUUUUCCUAUCCUUCUACUCUCCACUUGGAUUUCAUUUCAACAACACUCAACUUGAUCCGUUAAUAAUUCUAUUUCUAUUACUUAUUAUCAUAUUAUAUAUUAUUAUGAUAUGCUUUUUAUUUCAUGAUAUGCUUUUUAAUAUGCUUAUCACUAACAAUACUCAUUCAUUAUUUAAUUGGCUUUAACAAAGGAAGAGAUAGAUAAAUUAUUAUUUUAACUAUACUUAUAAUAAC
rnacentral:lncRNA from 1 species